GAUUAACGCUAGCUACAGGCUUAACACAUGCAAGUCGAGGGGAAACGACAUCGAAAGCUUGCUUUUGAUGGGCGUCGACCGGCGCACGGGUGAGUAACGCGUAUCCAACCUGCCCAUCACUUGGGAAUAACCUUGCGAAAGUAAGACUAAUACCCAAUGACAUCCCACGAAGACAUCUGAAUGGGAUUAAAGAUUUAUCGGUGAUGGAUGGGGAUGCGUCUGAUUAGCUUGUUGGCGGGGUAACGGCCCACCAAGGCAACGAUCAGUAGGGGUUCUGAGAGGAAGGUCCCCCACAUUGGAACUGAGACACGGUCCAAACUCCUACGGGAGGCAGCAGUGAGGAAUAUUGGUCAAUGGGCGAGAGCCUGAACCAGCCAAGUAGCGUGCAGGAUGACGGCCCUAUGGGUUGUAAACUGCUUUUAUAAGGGAAUAAAGUGGGUCUCGUGAGACUUUUUGCAUGUACCUUAUGAAUAAGGACCGGCUAAUUCCGUG
rnacentral:rRNA from 1 species